GCGCUCACUUCAGCAGCACAUAUACUAAAGUUGGACAAUGCAGAGAAAAUUAGCAUGGCCCCUGCUCAAGGAUGAUAUGCAAAUUUGUGAAGUUUUCCAUAUUUUU